rnacentral:misc_RNA from 1 species
GAUGAAGAACGUAGCGAAAUGCGAUAAGUAAUGUGAAUUGCAGAAUUCAGUGAAUCAUCGAAUCUUUGAACGCACAUUGCGCCCCCUGGUAUUCCGGGGGGCAUGCCUGUUCGAGCGUCAUUUCACCACUCAAGCCUCGCUUGGUAUUGGGCAACGCGGUCCGCCGCGUGCCUCAAAUCGACCGGCUGGGUCUUCUGUCCCCUAAGCGUUGUGGAAACUAUUCGCUAAAGGGUGCUCGGGAGGCUACGCCGUAAAACAAACCCAUUUCUAAGGUUGACCUCGGAUCAGGUAGGGAUACCCGCUGAACUUAAGCAUAUCAAUAAGCAGGA